rnacentral:lncRNA from 1 species
CUCGGCGAACGUCUACCACUGAUCUGUCCGUCGUCAUCUGGAACCGGGCGCUUCCUAUCCUGAGUCUGCCCCGGCACCGUCGCCCGCUCACAGAUCGAUACAGCUCCUCGCUCAACCCACAACACCUGCUCAAUCGACGCAUCCAAGGUUCGCAACCUCCGUGCCUGUACCAAAACAAAAAUCUCUAGCCUCAAACCCCUCUCGUACAAAUAGACCUUAUGUGCUUCAUCCCUGGCUACAAACGACACACAGUUCAGAAGCCUGGUAAACUCCCGAGUAUACUCCUGUACUGACUGCUCCCCCUGCUGCAGCUUCUUUAGAACCUCCUCAAAUUUUU